rnacentral:rRNA from 1 species
GACGAACGCUGGCGGCGUGCUUAACACAUGCAAGUCGAACGGAAAGGCCCUGCUUUUGUGGGGUGCUCGAGUGGCGAACGGGUGAGUAACACGUGAGUAACCUGCCCUUGACUUUGGGAUAACUUCAGGAAACUGGGGCUAAUACCGGAUAGGAGCUCCUGCUGCAUGGUGGGGGUUGGAAAGUUUCGGCGGUUGGGGAUGGACUCGCGGCUUAUCAGCUUGUUGGUGGGGUAGUGGCUUACCAAGGCUUUGACGGGUAGCCGGCCUGAGAGGGUGACCGGCCACAUUGGGACUGAGAUACGGCCCAGACUCCUACGGGAGGCAGCAGUGGGGAAUAUUGCACAAUGGGCGGAAGCCUGAUGCAGCAACGCCGCGUGCGGGAUGACGGCCUUCGGGUGGUAAACCGCUUUCGCCUGUGACGAAGCGUGAGUGACGGUAAUGGGUAAGAAGCACCGGCUAACUACGUG